rnacentral:rRNA from 1 species
AGCGUACACGGUGGAUGCCCUGGCAGUCAGAGGCGAUGAAGGACGUGCUAAUCUGCGAUAAGCGUCGGUAAGGUGAUAUGAACCGUUAUAACCGGCGAUUUCCGAAUGGGGAAACCCAGUGUGUUUCGACACACUAUCAUUAACUGAAUCCAUAGGUUAAUGAGGCGAACCGGGGGAACUGAAACAUCUAAGUACCCCGAGGAAAAGAAAUCAACCGAGAUUCCCCCAGUAGCGGCGAGCGAACGGGGAGCAGCCCAGAGCCUGAAUCAGUGUGUGUGUUAGUGGAAGCGUCUGGAAAGGCGCGCGAUACAGGGUGACAGCCCCGUACACAAAAAUGCACAUGCUGUGAGCUCGAUGAGUAGGGCGGGACACGUGGUAUCCUGUCUGAAUAUGGGGGGACCAUCCUCCAAGGCUAAAUACUCCUGACUGACCGAUAGUGAACCAGUACCGUGAGGGAAAGGCGAAAAGAACCCCGGCGAGGGGAGUGAAAAAGAACCUGAAACCGUGUACGUACAAGCAGUGGGAGCACGCUUAGGCGUGUGACUGCGUACCUUUUGUAUAAUGGGUCAGCGACUUAUAUUCUGUAGCAAGGUUAACCGAAUAGGGGAGCCGAAGGGAAACCGAGUCUUAACUGGGCGUUAAGUUGCAGGGUAUAGACCCGAAACCCGGUGAUCUAGCCAUGGGCAGGUUGAAGGUUGGGUAACACUAACUGGAGGACCGAACCGACUAAUGUUGAAAAAUUAGCGGAUGACUUGUGGCUGGGGGUGAAAGGCCAAUCAAACCGGGAGAUAGCUGGUUCUCCCCGAAAGCUAUUUAGGUAGCGCCUCGUGAAUUCAUCUCCGGGGGUAGAGCACUGUUUCGGCAAGGGGGUCAUCCCGACUUACCAACCCGAUGCAAACUGCGAAUACCGGAGAAUGUUAUCACGGGAGACACACGGCGGGUGCUAACGUCCGUCGUGAAGAGGGAAACAACCCAGACCGCCAGCUAAGGUCCCAAAGUCAUGGUUAAGUGGGAAACGAUGUGGGAAGGCCCAGACAGCCAGGAUGUUGGCUUAGAAGCAGCCAUCAUUUAAAGAAAGCGUAAUAGCUCACUGGUCGAGUCGGCCUGCGCGGAAGAUGUAACGGGGCUAAACCAUGCACCGAAGCUGCGGCAGCGACGCUGAUGCGUUGUUGGGUAGGGGAGCGUUCUGUAAGCCUGCGAAGGUGUGCUGUGAGGCAUGCUGGAGGUAUCAGAAGUGCGAAUGCUGACAUAAGUAACGAUAAAGCGGGUGAAAAGCCCGCUCGCCGGAAGACCAAGGGUUCCUGUCCAACGUUAAUCGGGGCAGGGUGAGUCGACCCCUAAGGCGAGGCCGAAAGGCGUAGUCGAUGGGAAACAGGUUAAUAUUCCUGUACUUGGUGUUACUGCGAAGGGGGGACGGAGAAGGCUAUGUUGGCCGGGCGACGGUUGUCCCGGUUUAAGCGUGUAGGCUGGUUUUCCAGGCAAAUCCGGAAAAUCAAGGCUGAGGCGUGAUGACGAGGCACUACGGUGCUGAAGCAACAAAUGCCCUGCUUCCAGGAAAAGCCUCUAAGCAUCAGGUAACAUCAAAUCGUACCCCAAACCGACACAGGUGGUCAGGUAGAGAAUACCAAGGCGCUUGAGAGAACUCGGGUGAAGGAACUAGGCAAAAUGGUGCCGUAACUUCGGGAGAAGGCACGCUGAUAUGUAGGUGAAGUCCCUCGCGGAUGGAGCUGAAAUCAGUCGAAGAUACCAGCUGGCUGCAACUGUUUAUUAAAAACACAGCACUGUGCAAACACGAAAGUGGACGUAUACGGUGUGACGCCUGCCCGGUGCCGGAAGGUUAAUUGAUGGGGUUAGCGCAAGCGAAGCUCUUGAUCGAAGCCCCGGUAAACGGCGGCCGUAACUAUAACGGUCCUAAGGUAGCGAAAUUCCUUGUCGGGUAAGUUCCGACCUGCACGAAUGGCGUAAUGAUGGCCAGGCUGUCUCCACCCGAGACUCAGUGAAAUUGAACUCGCUGUGAAGAUGCAGUGUACCCGCGGCAAGACGGAAAGACCCCGUGAACCUUUACUAUAGCUUGACACUGAACAUUGAGCCUUGAUGUGUAGGAUAGGUGGGAGGCUUUGAAGUGUGGACGCCAGUCUGCAUGGAGCCGACCUUGAAAUACCACCCUUUAAUGUUUGAUGUUCUAACGUUGACCCGUGAUCCGGGUUGCGGACAGUGUCUGGUGGGUAGUUUGACUGGGGCGGUCUCCUCCUAAAGAGUAACGGAGGAGCACGAAGGUUGGCUAAUCCUGGUCGGACAUCAGGAGGUUAGUGCAAUGGCAUAAGCCAGCUUGACUGCGAGCGUGACGGCGCGAGCAGGUGCGAAAGCAGGUCAUAGUGAUCCGGUGGUUCUGAAUGGAAGGGCCAUCGCUCAACGGAUAAAAGGUACUCCGGGGAUAACAGGCUGAUACCGCCCAAGAGUUCAUAUCGACGGCGGUGUUUGGCACCUCGAUGUCGGCUCAUCACAUCCUGGGGCUGAAGUAGGUCCCAAGGGUAUGGCUGUUCGCCAUUUAAAGUGGUACGCGAGCUGGGUUUAGAACGUCGUGAGACAGUUCGGUCCCUAUCUGCCGUGGGCGCUGGAGAACUGAGGGGGGCUGCUCCUAGUACGAGAGGACCGGAGUGGACGCAUCACUGGUGUUCGGGUUGUCAUGCCAAUGGCACUGCCCGGUAGCUAAAUGCGGAAGAGAUAAGUGCUGAAAGCAUCUAAGCACGAAACUUGCCCCGAGAUGAGUUCUCCCUGACUCCUUGAGAGUCCUGAAGGAACGUUGAAGACGACGACGUUGAUAGGCCGGGUGUGUAAGCGCAGCGAUGCGUUGAGCUAACCGGUACUAAUGAACCGUGAGGCUUAACC